rnacentral:rRNA from 1 species
UACGUAGGGGGCAAGCGUUGUCCGGAUUUAUUGGGCGUAAAGAGCGUGUAGGCGGCCAGACAGGUCCGUUGUGAAAACUCGAGGCUCAACCUCGAGAUGUCGAUGGAAACCGUCUGGCUAGAGUCCGGAAGAGGAGUGUGGAAUUCCUGGUGUAGCGGUGAAAUUCGUAGAUAUUGGGAAGAACACCGGUGGCGAAGGCGGCGCUCUGGACCGAGACUGACGCUGAGGCGCGAAAGCGUGGGGAGCGAUCCGG